rnacentral:misc_RNA from 1 species
CCUCAGUAAUAUUGUUCUGCCCUUCAACUACAUCUCCAUAUUGAUGCUGAAUUUUAGAGAACACGGCAUAGAAUUUUUCAGUGAUAGGGAAACAAAUGGCCAACUCAUCCUUCUCUGAACGAACCUUCCUUGUAAGAUCUAACCAUCCAAAUUUCUUCAACAUGUCCUUCCCUAAUUUUGCACAUUUCUUUUCAAGCUUUAGCACCCAACAUGAAGCAACCGAUGGACAUUGCUUGGCCUCAAAAUCAAACCUACAAC